CCUACGGGAGGCAGCAGUGGGGAAUAUUGGACAAUGGGGGCAACCCUGAUCCAGCCAUGCCGCGUGUGUGAAGAAGGCCCUCGGGUUGUAAAGCACUUUCAGUGAGGAAGAACGCCUGGUGGUUAAUACCCAUCAGGAAAGACAUCACUCACAGAAGAAGCACCGGCUAACUCCGUGCCAGCAGCCGCGGUAAUACGGAGGGGUGCGAGCGUUAAUCGGAAUUACUGGGCGUAAAGCGCGCGUAGGUGGCUUGAUAAGCCGGUUGUGAAAGCCCCGGGCUCAACCUGGGAACGGCAUCCGGAACUGGCAAGCUAGAGUGCAGGAGAGGAAGGUAGAAUUCCCGGUGUAGCGGUGAAAUGCGUAGAGAUCGGGAGGAAUACCAGUGGCGAAGGCGGCCUUCUGGACUGACACUGACACUGAGGUGCGAAAGCGUGGGUAGCAAACAGGAUUAGAUACCCUGGUAGUC
rnacentral:rRNA from 1 species